ACUCAAAUGAAUAGACGGGGGCCCGCACAAGCGGUGGAGCAUGUGGUUUAAUUCGAUGCUACGCGAGGAACCUUACCUGGGCUUGACAUCCCACGCUAUCCGGUGAAAGCCGGAGUUCCCUUCGGGGACGUGGUGACAGGUGCUGCAUGGCUGUCGUCAGCUCGUGUUGUGAGAUGUUGGGUUAAGUCCCGCAACGAGCGCAACCCCUGUCGUUAGUUACCAUCAUUAAGUUGGGCACUCUAACGAAACCGCUUGGCCAUAAGCCAGAGGAAGGUGGGGAUGACGUCAAGUCCUCAUGGCCCUUACGCCCAGGGCUACACACGUGCUACAAUGCGAAGUACAAAGCGCAGCAAGCUUGCAAGAGUGAGCUAAUCGCAAAAAGCUUCGCUCAGUUCGGAUUGGGGUCUGCAACUCGACCCCAUGAAGCUGGAAUCGCUAGUAAUCGCGGAUCAGAACGCCGCGGUGAAUACGUUCCCGGGCCUUGUACACACCGCCCGU
rnacentral:rRNA from 1 species